AUCGAACUCGAUGGCCUAAGAGAUUAGAUUUUCCCUUCGGGGACAAAAUGACAGGUGGUGCAUGGUUGUCGUCAGCUCGUGUCGUGAGAUGUUGGGUUAAGUCCCGCAACGAGCGCAACCCUUAUGACUAGUUGCCAGCAUUUAGUUGGGCACUCUAGUGAGACUGCCGGUGACAAACCGGAGGAAGGUGGGGAUGACGUCAAAUCAUCAUGCCCCUUAUGACCUGGGCUACACACGUGCUACAAUGGAUGGUACAACGAGUUGCGAGACCGCGAGGUUAAGCUAAUCUCUUAAAACCAUUCUCAGUUCGGACUGUAGGCUGCAACUCGCCUACACGAAGUCGGAAUCGCUAGUAAUCGCGGAUCAGCAUGCCGCGGUGAAUACGUUCCCGGGUCUUGUACACACCGA
rnacentral:rRNA from 1 species